rnacentral:rRNA from 1 species
UACGAGGGGGCAAGUGUUGUUCGGAAUCACUGGGCGUAAAGGGAGCGUAGGCGGGCUUUUAAGUUAGGUGUUUAAUCCCGGGGCCCAACCCCGGACCGGCACUUAAAACUGGGAAUCUUGAAUAGUGGAGAGGUCAGUGGAAUUGGGGUGUAGCGGUGGAAUGCGUAGAGAUCCCCAAGAACACCAGUUGCGAAGGCGGCUGACUGGACACAUAUUGACGCUGAGGCUCGAAAGCAUGGGGAGCAAACAGG